rnacentral:rRNA from 1 species
UACGUAGGGUGCGAGCGUUGUCCGGAAUUAUUGGGCGUAAAGAGCUCGUAGGCGGUUUGUUGCGUCGGCCGUGAAAACCUGCAGCUUAACUGUGGGCCUGCGGCCGAUACGGGCAGACUUGAGUUCGGUAGGGGAGACUGGAAUUCCUGGUGUAGCGGUGAAAUGCGCAGAUAUCAGGAGGAACACCGGUGGCGAAGGCGGUGAGCUGGGCAGUAGCUGACACUGAGGCGCGACAGCGUGGGGAGCAAACAGG